GGGAGAGAAAAGGAGUGACAAAACACGCAGAAACCCUGCCCCACCUUCGAACCCCAAAUUCCAGUGUAUCUCUCAAUCUAUCGCAUCGUAUGUGUGUCCCCAUAAAUUCUGCACUUCUCUCUCUUUCUCUCUAAAACUCAGUCUCGGCGCGUGUAUAUCUUGCUUGAGGAAUUAAAUUCUUUCUCCUUUUCUUUUUAAGGAAGGAUAAAUAAAUCAGAGAAGAGCUGAGGAGGGAGGACUCAAAGUACGAUAAAACCUCGAAACAUAAUUCGCUGAUCUUUCUUCUCUACCACCUCCUUCUUCUACUUUUCCUUGGCCCGGCGUAGGAGGUGAGACUUAAAAAUAUGGUUCUUGAAAGUAUAACAUCUCCUCAUCGGAGGGCCCAAACUCCGUUUACUUCAACUUCUGUCAAAAAAACAUUCCCAGCUCGAGACGAAUUGGGUAACUGCACAACUCUUUUUCAACGCCACCGUUUCCUUCUUACAAUGCUGGCACUCCUAGGUUUCCUUUGUACCAUUUAUCUCUAUUUUGCCGUUACUCUGGGAGCCAGUGGUGAGAUGUGUUCAGAAUUGACUGGUACAGAGAAGGCAUUAUGUCGAUUAAUGCAAGCUAAAGCUUCUGUAGCCAAAGGAAAAUUGAAGUUUUUCUAGGUGAAGAGAGAAGUUACUAAUAGAAAAGAAGAAAAGAAAAAGAGGUCAUCCUUUUGCCUCGAAGUAUUACACUAAUGUUACCAUUAAGUUAUUACUUUGGGUUGUCAAAGUAUUAGAUGCCCUUCUUCUUCUUCAAUUCAUUCAUACAUCAGAUAUUAACUUAGCUUUCUUCUUUUACUCAACUUUUCCUGGCGUUUUCUUUACUGUUUGAUUGGUAUGGAAAGUAAAAAAUUGUUGUCUAAAGAUGAUCAUUUCGUCUUAUCUGUGUAGUAAAGUUGUAAAAUAUUUUGUUAAUCUUUUUUUCCUUUUCUGUUUCUGUGUAGAACUUAGUUGAUU